ensembl:lncRNA
GGAUUAUCUGAAUGCCAGUGGGCUGCUCAAGGAAGGGAGAUCAGAACCUGUCUCCACUUGGGUCCGCUGAUCACCAGCAAUAGUAACUAUGUGGAGGAUGGAGAAUCAACUUCUGAUGGAAAAAUAUCAUUUCUCUCUGUCCAAAUAGAAGGGAUGAUUUUCUUGUCAGUCUCCAAAUUGGCCUCCUUGGGACCACGCUCUGAGAUGGUGAUGUCUACAUUACGGAAUAGAGACAACUCUCACCUUACCAAAACAGAGAAGGAAAG